AUUGAACGCUGGCGGCAGGCCUAACACAUGCAAGUCGAGCGGAGCGGCGGACGGGUGAGUAAUACCUAGGAAUCUGCCUGAUAGUGGGGGAUAACGUUCGGAAACGGACGCUAAUACCGCAUCCUAUCAGCUUAGCCUAGGUCGGAUUAGCUAGUUGGUGAGGUAAUGGCUCACCAAGGCUAAGACCCGUAACUGGGCUGAGAGGAUGAGCAGUAAAACUGGAACUGAGACACGGUCCAGACGCCUACGGGAGGCAGCAGUGGGGAAUAUGGGACAAUGGGCGAAAGCCUGAUCCAGCCAGGCCGCGUGUGUGAAGAAGGUCUGCGGAUUGUAAAGCACUUUAAGGUGGGAGGCGGUACCGGCAGAAGAAGCACCGGCUAACUCUGUGCCAGCAGCCGCGGUAAUAC
rnacentral:rRNA from 1 species